rnacentral:rRNA from 1 species
GAUGAACGCUGGCGGCGUGCCUAAUACAUGCAAGUCGAGCGAACAGACGAGGAGCUUGCUCCUCUGACGUUAGCGGCGGACGGGUGAGUCCCACGUAGAUAACCUAUCUAUAAGACUGGGGUCACUUCGGGAAACCGGAGCUAACACCGGAUAAUAUGUUGAACCGCAUGGUUCAAUAGUGAUAGACGUUUUUGCUGACACUUAUAGAUGGAUCCGGGCCGGAUUAGCUAGUUGGUAAGGUAACGGCUUACCAAGGCGACGAUGCGUAGCCGACCUGAGAGGAUGAUCAGCCACACUGGAACUGAGACACGGUCCAGACUCCUACGGGAGGCAGCAGUAGGGAAUCUUGCGCAAUGGGCGAAAGCUUGACGCAGCAACGCCGCGUGAGUGAUGAAGGUCUUCGGAUCGUAAAACUCUGUUAGUAGGGAAGAACAAAUGUGUAAGUAACUAUGCACGUCUUGACGGUACCUAAUCAGAAAGCCACGGCUAACUACGUG